UUCAUACUUCCUCCGUCCCAAAAUUCUUGUCUUAAAUUUGUCUAGAUACAAAUAUAUCUAACACUAAAACGUAACUAGAUAUAUCUGUAUUUAGAUAAAUCUAAGACAAGAAUUUUCGUACGGAGGGAGUAUUUU
rfam:Triticum urartu cultivar G1812 contig1107919, whole genome shotgun sequence.